rnacentral:rRNA from 1 species
AUUGAACGUUGGCGGCAGGCCUAACACAUGCAAGUCGAGCGGAUGAAGGGAGCUUGCUCCUGGAUUCAGCGGCGGACGGGUGAGUAAUGCCUAGGAAUCUGCCUGGUAGUGGGGGAUAACGUCCGGAAACGGGCGCUAAUACCGCAUACGUCCUGAGGGAGAAAGUGGGGGAUCUUCGGACCUCACGCUAUCAGAUGAGCCUAGGUCGGAUUAGCUAGUUGGUGGGGUAAAGGCCUACCAAGGCGACGAUCCGUAACUGGUCUGAGAGGAUGAUCAGUCACACUGGAACUGAGACACGGUCCAGACCCCUACGGGAGGCAGCAGUGGGGAAUAUUGGACAAUGGGCGAAAGCCUGAUCCAGCCAUGCCGCGUGUGUGAAGAAGGUCUUCGGAUUGUAAAGCACUUUAAGUUGGGAGGAAGGGCAGUAAGUUAAUACCUUGCUGUUUUGACGUUACCAACAGAAUAAGCACCGGCUAACUUCGUG